rnacentral:rRNA from 1 species
GAUGAACGCUGACAGAAUGCUUAACACAUGCAAGUCUACUUGAACUUCGGUUUGGGUGGCGGACGGGUGAGUAACGCGUAAAGAACUUGCCUCACAGUUAGGGACAACAUUUGGAAACGAAUGCUAAUACCUGAUAUUAUGAUUUUAGGGCAUCCUAGGAUUAUGAAAGCUAUGUGUGCUGUGAGAGAGCUUUGCGUCCCAUUAGCUAGUUGGAGAGGUAACGGCUCACCAAGGCGAUGAUGGGUAGCCGGCCUGAGAGGGUGAACGGCCACAAGGGGACUGAGACACGGCCCUUACUCCUACGGGAGGCAGCAGUGGGGAAUAUUGGACAAUGGACCAAAAGUCUGAUCCAGCAAUUCUGUGUGCACGAUGACGUUUUUCGGAAUGUAAAGUGCUUUCAGUUGGGAAGAAAAAAAUGACGGUACCAACAGAAGAAGUGACGGCUAAAUACGUG